AUACGGAGGACGCGAGCGUUAUCCGGAUUCAUUGGGUUUAAAGGGUGCGCAGGCGGCCGUGCAAGUCAGCGGUGAAAGCCCGGGGCUCAACCCCGGAAGUGCCGUUGAUACUGCGUGGCUGGAAUGCGGUCGAGGCGGGCGGAACGUGGCGGGUAGCGGGGGAAUGCGUAGAUAUGCCACAGAACGCCGAUAGCGGAGGCAGCUCGCCAGGCCUGCAUUGACGCUCGGGCACGAAAGCGUGGGGAUCGAACAGGAUUAGAUACCCUGGUAGUCCACGCCGUAAACGAUGGGCGCUCGUCGUCGGCGGCAGACAGUCGGCGGCCAAGCGAAAGCGAUAAGCGCCCCACCUGGGGAGUACGGUCGCAAGGCUGAAACUCAAAUGAAUUGACGGGG
rnacentral:rRNA from 1 species